rnacentral:rRNA from 1 species
GAGUUACGAUCUGAUGCAAGGUUAAGCAGAAAAUGUGGAGCCGUAGCGAAAGCGAGUCUGAAUAGGGCGAAUGAGUAUUUGGUCGUAGACCCGAAACCAGGUGAUCUACCCUUGGUCAGGUUGAAGUUCAGGUAACACUGAAUGGAGGACCGAACCGACUUACGUUGAAAAGUGAGCGGAUGAACUGAGGGUAGCGGAGAAAUUCCAAUCGAACUUGGAGAUAGCUGGUUCUCUCCGAAAUAGCUUUAGGGCUAGCCUCAAGUGAUGAUUAUUGGAGGUAGAGCACUGUUUGGACGAGGGGCCCCUCUCGGGUUACCGAAUUCAGACAAACUCCGAAUGCCAAAUAAUUUAACUUGGGAGUCAGAAUGUGGGUGAUAAGGUCCAUAUUCGAAAGGGAAACAGCCCAGACCACCAGCUAAGGUCCCAAAAUAUAUGUUAAGUGGAAAAGGAUGUGGCGUUGCCCAGACAACUAGGAUGUUGGCUUAGAAGCAGCCAUCAUUUAAAGAGUGCGUAAUAGCUCACUAGUCGAGUGACACUGCGCCGAAAAUGUACCGGGGCUAAACAUAU